GCAGAACUCAGAUUGGUUUUUUAGAAACUCAAUCUCAGUUGUCCAUCAGAGUACUUCUAGUAUUAAACCUUCUUAGUAUAUAAAAAAGAAAUCCUUGCCCAUGCUACCAUUUCCUGAUUGAGAUGACCUAAAAAACAUCUGUUGCUUAUCCAUGCCUUGGGUACAGAGCAGUGUAGGUAAAAGCUUCCCUGCUGAUGUGCCCAGCCUGGUUCAUAAGGAUAUUCUUUGAAGAAGGAUCAGCAUGGAUUCAUCAAAAUGGAAGGUUGCACUCUGAAAGAUGUCUAUGUGCGCCCUUCCCAAGCACUCAGAGGACAAAGCACAGCCCAUCAAGGCUCAAGAACUUCAGCCUUCCUGGGUCCAGAGAUCAACUGGGGAAGAAGAAAUAUGAACGCCUUCUCCUGAGAAGCAGGCUUAAAUACCGUCUGGAAUUAGUUCAUUAGUUCAUAUUCCAACAAUCGGGUCAGACUGUAAUGACAAGGCCCAGUAACUUCCAGUCAUAAUCACAAAUUCAGUGCCACGCAGACAUGGCUAGAAAUAAAACAGGCUGUUUUGCUACUCAGCUUUCUGGGAAAUGUACUUCUAAUCUGCCCAGCAGAAAGUCAUUUCAAGCCACUUAGGCUUGACAAUUCUCAGUGUGGCUCAGAUUUAGAUCUGGCCAGACUUUAAAAUGCUGCAAACACAAAAUGGGUGAUAGACCUCCAGCAAUACUAUGGUUUCACCUUCUUGAUAGUUUUUCAAAACGGACUGGUAACCAAAAUACAGAACACUUCUGAAUAUUUAGCCCUUCCUUCUGUCCAUCAUGCUGAGGUUAAACCAUCCCAAGACAAGGACCUUGGAAGAAGAUCCCUCAUACUUCAUCUUGCCCUGUGCUCUUACUCAAGGCAGGAUCUCCUUUGCCUUUGCUGGGAAAUGGCUUUCCUAAACAUCACGACUAUGGCUAGACUGUUGAGUCAUCCUGCAAUAAUUGUUUUAAUGACAAUUAAAAAGCCUUACUUCUGAUCAUUUAAAAGAACAUUAAAUUUCAGCCCUAAGGCAAUGAACUACUGGCAAAAGAGGAGCAGUUUCAAUGAAUUCAAGGAUUUCCUUGUCUCUCUUUCUCUUUUCCUCUCUCUCUCUCUCUCUCAUUUUUGCCAGCUAACAUCAGACAAACAGGGCUUGCAGGGAGAAGUAAUAUACUUCAUUAAACCAAAUGAUGCUGCUAGGAGAAGCAGACAAGCUUUCAGACACAUAGUUCCUUCAGGUCAAACAUCAGGUCAAUAAUUUUGAAAAUACUGCAAAAGCAUACUUAUCUCCAGUCAUAGCAAAUGCACUUUUGAGCUUUACCAAUGCUUAUUAAACCGUUAACAUUUUGGUUUGGGAAUGGAUGCAAGCUCUGCGCAGCGCUGGAGCAGAAGACUUCUCCAUUAGAGUUUACAGAUGAAAGAGAGCAGAAUCUAAAAAACACUCCCCGGUCUGUGCAGCAAAUGCCCAUUCUGUACAGUGCAAUGCAAAUAUUUUCCCUUCCUGGAUUUCAAAAUAUUUUAUUUGAAGUCAUUGAAUUACUCAAAGGAUAUUUUAAUUUUAAUUUUUCUUCGUGCCUGAAGAAAUGGUAUGUGGAAACAUCUUCUCCAUGCUAAUCCUUCACCCAUCCAUUACUGUCACAGUCAUUCCAGUCCAUUUUCAAGACUGUUUGGAAAAUCCUACAUUGUACCUUCUCUCUCUCAUCUUUCUGGAGCUGCUUUAUUAUUCUGUCAUAACGAAACAUAGAUGAAGAAAUUACAAGUCUUCAUUCUCUUUUGGCACUUCCAUUUGAAAAAGGAGAAAGAGAAGUUCAGGUGUUCACUUCAAGGACAACAUGAAGUCUGAUCACACUCCCCUUCCUCCUGCCAGGUUUCAUCACACUUUCAGGGUAUUUUGGAAGGCAGAAAGUGCCUCACUGUGCUUUGUGACUUUGGGUGCAGCAUUUCAACAGCUGUUCCAGUUUGCUUUAGAGAGAACAAAGAUGCUACAAAAUUCUGAUUUUCUCAACUCCCUGAGGCUCUGUUAUGAAGUAUUUAGCAAGUGACAACGAUCCCAUUUGUGACAUUCUUAUUUCUAAGUUAGCAGUGAUAAUCCCACAUGGUUUUAAAAGGGAUCCUGACAUACCAAAAGCUCUGUCUUUUAGGUGAAAUAUAGAAACCCAAUCCUUCUGUUCUCAGCAAUUACAAGUUCCUACACAAACCAGUUGUUAAGGUUGGUGUCCUGGCCAAACUCCAGCCUGUCAUUCUGACUCCUCACUCUUCUCCCACCCUUCCUCCUUCUACCCGAGGGCAGAUAUGGCAGGAAAAGAAGCAGCACACAAAUGCACACUGUCUCAAAGGUGUGCAAUGCAGCACUGGGCUUGGAAAGCCCCACGGUAUUUACACCAUACUGAAUGCAGGAAAAUAAAAGGUGAUCUACACAAGCCAUUAAAUCCUUAUUUGGAAGCUUUAUAGGACUAAAAAUACCAUAUAUAUACAUUGUACAAUGAAAUAUAAAUACACAACACUGAACAUAAACUGUAUAUAAACACUGUAGUUCACUAUGAAAAAAUAUCUGUGAAUUAAGCACCUGACUUCAAGUGUAUCUGAAUAUACAACAACAGAGCUGCUGCAGGCUGGCUCGACUUCCAUAUGUGCAAAUACUUUCUGUAUAUACGUUAACGCUCAUAUAGCAAAGUAAAGCAUGGUUUACAAGUAAUAAAAAAGACAGAAUAUCCUACAAAAAGUUAUUUUUAACAGCAAAAUGCAAAGAACUUAAAAACAGCUAGUACACAGAUUUAAAGAAUUGUUAUAAAUUAUUGUGGGGAACUUGGAAAAAUAAACUGACCAGCCAUUUGAAACUGUGUAGUUCUAACAGGUUAUUUUGGGUCCUAGUACUUUAAUAUUAAUAAGAGAAUUAACAUAAAUGUAAAAAUAGCACAAGCAGUAGCCUGCUGACCUGGUAAUGCACUGUAGCAAAGAACUGAGUGGAGAAUCUUAUUGCCAUCAGCAUAACUGCCCAAAGGAUAGCAGCAACCAACAAAACAUCACAUCAUGGGAAUAAUCAUGAACAUCUGAAAUUUUCAGUGGCUUCCGCACUGGGUUAUGUUUUAAGCUGUAAUGCACUGUAAUCCUCUUCACAUGCAUACAAACGAACAAGUACCAAAACCCCAGACAAACUUGUCUGUCUCAAACCUUUGUCUAUUUGGGGUGCAGGGGAGGAAGAGAGAGUAGAGCACAAUUCCUACAUAUUCUGUACGAACUCCAUUGAAACCCCAGGCAAGAAACAUUUAUAUUCCUGUGGCAGAAAUCUCGCAGCAUAACCAAGUGAAUCACAAAUAGGUUAAAACCCAUUUUGCUGACUUGCGGAGCCCUCUGAAGACAGGAGGCUGAAACUGUGUGUGUGCAAUCAGUAACCUGGAACAGGAGUCCCUGUGUAGCAGUGGCUUCACAUGUGGAAGGUGGCAGUGGUGUGACAGCAUACACCAACAUACUCAUUUAAUUAGCAUUAGGCUUAGUGCUGCCCUCUGAUAAAUGUACAGCAGUUGGUAAAAGGUCUUUGCUUGCAUCCUCCUAACACAGUCAAUUCAAUCUACCACAAACUUGUGGCAGCCAAAAGCAGCCACAACUGCUCAGCCCCAUUGGCAGUCCUUGGCCAGCAUUUCUGCUCAGUGUGGGAACCUGAAUUAGGCAACUGAACAAGCUGGAAACAACCCUCCUGCUUCCGCUGUUGGGCCAGUUUUCAGACGUAUCUGAAGCCAGCUCAACAUAACCUACGUGAUGGAAGCCAGCUUAGUGCAAGGACAAGGGAGGUGGCAGGAGUGAGCAGGCAGGGACACUGCCAGCCCUUGGGGAAGGUGCUCAGGAUCCCAGUCAAGUGCUGAGUUAGAGACCUGAAGCAGAGAAGUUUGCUGACAUCAUGAUGUAAGUCACUGUGUACGCCCUUUCGCUUUUCUGCAAGCUUGUUACAGUUUUCCUUGUUUUCUCUCAAGGAAGGUUCACUGACUAGUCAAAAGAAGCCAUUGUUGGCUCACCCAUGGGUGCAUUUAUCACAGCAGUACAGCUAGCUGGUGUUCCUUUGCCAUGUAGACCUCAGUCUUAACUCAGAGAAUUGAUGAAUGCCUUCUUUACUAGAACUCUAUUCUUUCUUAAGCACAUGAACUUGUACAGCAGAAUUGUAUCUUAUUUUUAUUACUCCACACCUCAAAGUCAUUAAAUUCAUCUCAUAUAACACUCUAAUCUUACUCUUUAUUGACUAUGCCAUCUAAAAUUCUGUAAAUGGCAAAUUUCAUUAGUAGACAUAACUUUUCACAAUGUUGCACAGUUUAAACACUAAAUACGAUCAGGCCUAAGUAGGAGCUGUUGGAUACUCCAGAUGUAAUCUCCCCCAUUGUUUUGAAUCUGAAACUUGAGACUAAACCAAAUCUAACGUACUAAAACACAGGUAACCUACUCAAAUAAUCUAUGGAAUGCACUUUACACACAGAACCAAACUGUAAGGCAGGAAACAGCAAAUGUGGAUUUGCUUCAUGCUCUGUUUUUCCCCCCAAUAAAUAAGUAUAGGCUCCCAACAAGUUGUUAGGCCUUUUCUCAUAUUUAGAGUGCUCAUCUAGAGGCAGACUAGAGGUAAUGUCCAUUGAUUGUUCACACUUGGUGCUGGCUUGAACUGAUCACCUCUUUAAUUAACCACAUAAAACUAGCGGCCUAAAGGUUAUGGUGUUUUGCCCCCCACCUAUAGGGUUCCUCUUCACUGAGAAGUUAUUCCGUUAAAGUUAUAGUGAGAAGAAACCAAUAGCGGAAAUGAUAAAGGAUAUCCCUCUGCUCCAUUUGAAAGAACUGUUGCAAAAAACUUCACAACAAAAAAGAUUUCAAUAAAAUAACAUUUUUUUUCCCUUUGAUGCCUAGGGAAAAGAAAGCAGAAUAUAUUUAUUUUCACUAUAUUUAAAAUGUCUUUUGUAAUAGAAAAAUGAAAAUUACAAGGCAAUGGCACACUACCACAGAGGACAUAGUGUAUUCACCAGCAGUAAUAUUGUAGUCCUCUGAUCUGCCGUAUCCAUGGUUUCAUCUUUGAAAAUGUGAGCAUAAACAUCAUGCGGAUGGGAAAAAGUCAGAAACAAAUAAAGGUUUACUUGGAUUGUGGAUAGAUGGGCUAUAUCCUUAUAGAAUCAGUGUAGAUUUAUUACCCAAAAAGACCUUCUGAAAAAUCUCACCUAUAUAUUAAGAAUGCAGAGGCCACUGUGGAGAUCUGCAAAAUUUUGUCAGGUCAGUACUAGUGGCAUCGCCAUUAUCUCCUUUAAUGAGUCUUGUAAAUGACAAAGUGUCAAACAAUUAACACAUUUCCCCCCUAGUCUUGCACUUUGGAUAACACAUACUCCCCACAAGUGGGAAAGAAUCUAUUUUGGCUUACUUUCAAUUUGUGCAACAAGGGCACAAAUCUAGCCUCAAGAGCAGUGAGUCUGGUAUAUCAUUACUGUUUUCUGCAGGUACGUACACACAUUUAAAAGACAGGAAGGCUUCGGUCUGAGCUCACAAAAUUACUAAUGAUGAAGCAAAAAUUACUGUUGGCAAAUAGGCACUUUGCAUAAUGUGUGAAAUAUUUUAGCACCUUUAAAAAGUCAUGUCAAGUGAUAGGAAAAUACUCUUCCUCCUUGCCUUUGUCUGAAUAAAAACAAAAAUGAGAAACCUUAAUAGCUCUAGUUGAAUUUAUAUAUUCUUUAGUGUUUAACUUCAGAUGCAGUCAUCAUCGUUUUUGGCUGAUAGUACAGGACAAGCAAUAUAUGGGUGAUUUAAGAGCUGGAAUUAAUAGAUAUAAGCAAAGACCUCUAAAAAUUCAAUGCAACAGAUCUGAAGUCAUGUUCUCAUUCUGUGUGUACAAAAUUACUCAGAAAGUAAUUUAGCUCCUCCUAAUAAUGUUUCCUUUUGUGCAACACAACUUGAAGCAAGGCACAACAUCCCAGCUUCUCUCACUGAAAAAGAAAGUUUGGCCUGCCAGCAAAUGCAAACUCAAAUGCAAUGUGCCAGAUCUGAACAGCUGUAUGUAUCCCACUUCUCCCGAGGCUCCAUCACAUGCCACAUGCCAGUCACCAUAAUUAGUGAGAGUUAGAAGGAAAACUCACAGUACAGUUAGGAAAUGUACAGCAUUAUACAUAAAUAAAAGAUUAGUGCUCCCUAGUGCUCUUGUCUCUUCUCUUUCCUCCCCACAGACCAAUAACAGUGUUGAAUUCUGAUGAAGCAAAGCAUGGUUCAACCUCAGGCAUUUUGUGAGGCAGAAAGCAAUUAAUCGGCAUUAAAGUGAUACAUAACAACAUACUUUUUUUUUUCUGGUGGGGAAACGGUCAACUAAAUAGUUAACUUCGGCGCUAUGAACACAUUUUAACCAGAAAUUUACAUUCUUACUUCAUUUGUCAUUCACCACUGUAAAAAAACUUCUACCUGAUUCAUCUAAGCCUUUAAAGAUGGUUUUAACUCUAACCUGCCUAGACAGUCUAUGGAAGCUGAAGGAUAAAAACAGGCCUAAUAUUAAAUGCAUGCUUAAGUGUUUGCUGAAAUGAGAGCUUGGAUUAAAUUCCGAUUGGGUGAUAAAUUGCAGUAGGAGAAAAUACAGUAGAUGUUUUCACCCAUGAUUCUCCAGUCAACAGCAUGAAACAGAGAAUAUUACAUUGCGCCUCCUGUAAGAACUAAUGAAGCCUAAUGCAGUUGCUCAUUUGUUUGUUUGUUUGUUUGUUUCCUGGAAGCACAGACAGAUGCAGGGAAGGAGAGAAAUAAAAGGGAAAUACUGAUCCAAAAUCCUAUCCAUACAUGAUGCUUUUGUUUCAGUUUUGUAAAAUUUGUGCCUUCUGAUGUCUGGGCACACCUAGCGAGAAAAUAUCAAAGAAAUUCAACAAUUUUCUGGCUUGAUUAUCGAAAAUGCUAUGUUGAAAGAACCUAUGAGGUGAGGCACAGCAAGACGGACAGUGUGCCUACAUCUUUCAAGUUUACAACUGUCAAAUUUGUUAAACUAUGCUAUUUUUAGUGAAAUUACAAUUUGGAACUGGCACAUUGAUUCCACACAGUUGGAGCCUGCUUCAAUGCCAGUGAACAUACUUUGAUUUAUUGCUCUUUUAUUCAG
ensembl:lncRNA